rnacentral:rRNA from 1 species
AGUGGCAGACGGGUGAGUAACGCGUGGGAACAUACCCUUUUCUACGGAAUAGCUCUGGGAAACUGGAAUUAAUACCGUAUACGCCCUACGGGGGAAAGAUUUAUCGGGGAAGGAUUGGCCCGCGUUGGAUUAGCUAGUUGGUGGGGUAAAGGCCUACCAAGGCGACGAUCCAUAGCUGGUCUGAGAGGAUGAUCAGCCACAUUGGGACUGAGACACGGCCCAAACUCCUACGGGAGGCAGCAGUGGGGAAUAUUGGACAAUGGGCGCAAGCCUGAUCCAGCCAUGCCGCGUGAGUGAUGAAGGCCUUAGGGUUGUAAAGCUCUUUCACCGAUGAAGAUAAUGACGGUAGUCGGAGAAGAAGCCCCGGCUAACUUCGUGCCAGCAGCCGCGGUAAUACGAAGGGGGCUAGCGUUGUUCGGAAUUACUGGGCGUAAAGCGCACGUAGGCGGAUAUUUAAGUCAGGGGUGAAAUCCCAGAGCUCAACUCUGGAACUGCCUUUGAUACUGGGUAUCUUGAGUAUGGAA